GACAGAGGGGGCAAGCGUUGCUCGGAAUUACUGGGCGUAAAGGGCGCGUAGGCGGGAUGGCAAGUCGGUCGUGAAAUCCCUCGGCUCAACCGAGGAACGUCGAUCGAUACUGCUGUUCUUGAGGAUUGCAGAGGAGACUGGAAUUCCCGGUGUAGCGGUGAAAUGUGUAGAGAUCGGGAGGAACACCGGUGGCGAAGGCGGGUCUCUGGGGCAAUUCCUGACGCUGAGGCGCGAAAGCGUGGGGAGCAAACGGG
rnacentral:rRNA from 1 species